UGGAAAGGCGGCUGCGCUUGUCUGUGAUAACCUUGUGCCGAUCGCACGUCCCCGUGACGGCGACAACGCAUUCGGAUGUCUGCCCUAUCAACUUUCGAUGCAAUUUUCCUCGCCUACCAUGGUGACCACGGGUAACGGGGAAUCAGGGUUAGAUUCCAGAGAGGGAGCCUGAGAAACAGCUACCACAUGCAAGGAAGGCAGCAGGCGUGCAAAUACCCACCCCUGACGCGGGGUGAAGUAGUGACG